rnacentral:lncRNA from 1 species
CCUGCGUUCAGUGAGGCCUCCCGUGGCGUCAGCAUGUUCGUGUGGAGCAAUGUGGAAGGUCAUUCUGUGGCCAUGUUCCCCUGGUACUCCAUCCCCUUCCUGAACCCUCCCUGCAGCCACACGAGGCCCAGCAACCUGCCAGUCACUCAGUGGCCUCCAACCAGAGAAAACAACCUGCCAAGUUGGCAGCUGUUGCUCACGAGCAUCCACCAGGUGGGACAGGGAGUGUUGACCCUGGGCGGCCCCCUGGAGCCACCUGCCCUGAAAGCCCAGGGCCCGCAACCCCACACACUUUGGGGGUGGUGGAACCUGGUAAAAGCUCAUCUCCCACCAUGGAGGAGGAGCCCUGGGCCCCUCAGGGGAGUCCCUGCUGGACAGUGAGACAGAGAAUGACCAUGAUGAUGCUUUCCUCUCCAUCAUGUCUCCUGACACCCAGUUGCCUCUACCACUCAGAUGAUGUCAGGCCCAGUUCCUCAGUGCCCUGCACAAGGAACAGGGCUCAUCUUCUGAGAAGGAUGGACGCAGCCCCAACAAAUGGGACAAGGACCACAUCCGGUGUCCCAUGAGUGGCGGUCAUGAUCUUCAGCAAGCGGCACCAGGCCUGGCAGGGCACACCAGGGUCACCCCAACCAGGAUAACUGGACCGUCAGCCAGAUGCUGAGCAAGUGGUGGUACACCCUGGGGCCCAAUGAGAGGCAGAAAUACCAUGAACUGGCCUUCCAGGUGAAGGUGGCCCACUUGCAAUAAGGACUGAAAGAAGUUCAGCUCAGAGGCCAAGCCCACAAGCCAGGGGCUAGCAGGAGUGUAACAAAGGCUCGUGGGAGUGGAGCAUGUCAGAGACUGGCACUGCCACUGCCCCUGGGGUGUCCUCUGAACUCCUGUCAGUUGCAGCCCAAACACUCCAGAGCUCGGAUACCAAGGAGCAGCUUCUGUGGGGCAGAAUGGCUGCACACAGUCAGGGAACCUGGCUCAGCCUGGCCCAAGCCUUCUCCCACAGGGGGGUACACAGCCUGGAUGGCAGGGAAAUAGACCAUCAGGCACUACAGGAACUGACACAGGUGGUAUCUGGCACUGCAUCAUACUCUGGCCCAAAGCCUUCUACUCAGUAUGGAGCUCCAGGCCACUUUGCAGCCCCUGGUGAGGGAGGUGACCAGUGGGCAGCCCUGCUGCUGCCCACCUGAGCUGGUCAUUCCCAGCACAUGGCCAGUGAGGACAUAGCGAGUGACAAGGAGCACACGGUCAUCCAUGAGGAAUAGGGUGUGAUGAUGUCAUUGCUGAUGAUGGCUUUAGCACCACUGACACUGAUCUCAAGUUCAAGGAGUGGGUGACCGACUGAGAGUGGGGACAACUCUGGGGAGGAGCCAGAGGGCAACAAGGGCUUUAGUGGGAAGGUAUUUGCACCUGUCAUUCCUUCCUCCUUUACUCCUGCUGCCCCUUGCUGGAUCCUGAGCCCCCAGGGUCCCCCGAUCCACCUGCAGCUUUUGGCAAAGUCUAUGGUCCCACCCUGUCCUCCUCCUACACAUACUCGGAUGCUUCCUCCUCAAUCUUGGCACCCACCUCCUUCUUACUGGGCCCAGGAGCCUUCAAAGCCCAGGAGUCUGGUCAAGGCAGCAGAGCGGGCCCCCUACAGCCCCUACCCCUGGGGAUGUGGACCCAGGGAUGCCUUCCAAGGUGACCUGUUUCCUCCCAAUGGAUCCUUCCACCUUCUGGUGCAAGAGACCUGAAAGUGUGGGUGACCUGGAGCUACCAGGCUCCUCAGUCAUCAGGGUCCCUCCCAACCUGGGCUUUUGGGGUCGGGGAAGAGGGAACCCCACAGACAUGGAUCCCACACUGGAGGACCCCACCACACCCAAAUGCAAGAUGAGAAGAUGCUCCAGCUGCAGCCCAAAGCCCAACACCCCCAAGUGUGCCAUGUGUGAUGGGGACAGCUUCCCCUUUGCCUGUACAGUUGGAGAAGCCAAGGACAGGCUCAGGGAACUGGAGACCGAGUAGGCGCUGUCCUCUUCACUGCACGCGCCCUGGACCAGUGCCAGCCCUGAUCAUGCAGCAUUUCCAGGCCCCCUUCUUCUUCCUGUCCACUAGGCCACAGCCGCCCUCCAGGCCCACUAUGUACACAUCUUCCCCUCCAAGGUUUGUUCUGCCCCUGCCCUGACUCCCAGCCCUGUGGGGGUCCUGACCACACCUCACCUGGCUCAGACUCUGGCGCAACCCUGGCUGCCCUGCCACUGCCUCUGCCCCAGAGUUGGGGCCUUGACAGCCUGGCUGGAAGGGGACACCCUAGCCUUGCCUCAACACCUGGGGGUCUCCAUAACUACCACAGGCAGGUAG